UACAGAGGUCUCAAGCGUUGUUCGGAUUCAUUGGGCGUAAAGGGUGCGUAGGUGGCGUGGUAAGUCGGGUGUGAAAUUUCGGAGCUUAACUCCGAAACUGCAUUCGAUACUGCUGUGCUUGAGGACUGGAGAGGAGACUGGAAUUUACGGUGUAGCAGUGAAAUGCGCAGAUAUCAGGAGGAACACCGGUGGCGAAGGCGGAUCUCUGGGCCUUACCUGACGCUCAGGUGCGAAAGCUAGGGGAGCAAACAGG
rnacentral:rRNA from 1 species